AUGGCAUAUAAUAGAGCCCCUGGUCCUGACAACAUUCCUGUUGAAUUCUAUUAGGUGUGCUGGGAUAUUGUUAAAGAGGACAUUAUGAGGUUGUUUGCGAGCUUUCAUAAUGGAACUUUGGAUGUCCAACGUCUGAACUAUGGGGUGAUCACCCUUUUGCCCAAAUCUGCGAGCACGGAUAAAAUCCAACAAUUUAGGCCUAUCUGUCUCCUGAGAUGUCCAUACAAACUCAUUACUAAAGUUUUGGAUCGGCGAGUGGAGAAAUACGCUGAUAAGCUCAUUAGCUCGACCCAAAAUGCUUUU
rnacentral:rRNA from 1 species